rnacentral:rRNA from 1 species
AUUGAACGCUGGCGGCAUGCCUUACACAUGCAAGUCGAACGGCAGCACGGGAGCUUGCUCCUGGUGGCGAGUGGCGAACGGGUGAGUAAUACAUCGGAACGUACCCUGAAGUGGGGGAUAACGUAGCGAAAGUUACGCUAAUACCGCAUAUUCUGUGAGCAGGAAAGAGGGGGAUCGCAAGACCUCUUGCUUUAGGAGCGGCCGAUGUCGGAUUAGCUAGUUGGUGAGGUAAAAGGCUCACCAAGGCGACGAUCCGUAGCGGGUCUGAGAGGAUGAUCCGCCACACUGGGACUGAGACACGGCCCAGACUCCUACGGGAGGCAGCAUGGGGAAUUUUGGACAAUGGCGCAGCCUGAUCCAGCCAUGCCGCGUGAGUGAAGAAGGCCUC